rnacentral:rRNA from 1 species
GAUGAACGCUGGCGGCGUGCCUAAUACAUGCAAGUCGAGCGAACAGACGAGGAGCUUGCUCCUCUGACGUUAGCGGCGGACGGGUGAGUAACACGUGGAUAACCUACCUAUAAGACUGGGAUAACUUCGGGAAACCGGAGCUAAUACCGGAUAAUAUAUUGAACCGCAUGGUUCAAUAGUGAAAGACGGUUUUGCUGUCACUUAUAGAUGGAUCCGCGCCGCAUUAGCUAGUUGGUAAGGUAACGGCUUACCAAGGCAACGAUGCGUAGCCGACCUGAGAGGGUGAUCGGCCACACUGGAACUGAGACACGGUCCAGACUCCUACGGGAGGCAGCACUAGGGAAUCUUCCGCAAUGGGCGAAAGCCUGACGGAGCAACGCCGCGUGAGUGAUGAAGGUCUUCGGAUCGUAAAACUCUGUUAUUAGGGAAGAACAAAUGUGUAAGUAACUAUGCACGUCUUGACGGUACCUAAUCAGAAAGCCACGGCUAACUACGUG